rnacentral:rRNA from 1 species
AACGAACGCUGGCGGCAUGCCUAACACAUGCAAGUCGAACGAGACCUUCGGGUCUAGUGGCGCACGGGUGCGUAACGCGUGGGAACCUGCCCUUAGGUUCGGAAUAACUCCCCGAAAGGGGUGCUAAUACCGGAUCAUGUCUUCGGACCAAAGAUUUUUUGCCUCUGGAUGGGCCCGCGUUGGAUUAGCUCGUUGGUAGGGUAAAAGCCUACUAAGGCGACGAUCCAUAGCUGGUCUGAGAGGAUGGUCAGCCACACUGGGACUGAGACACGGCCCAGACUCCUACGGGAGGCAGCAGUGGGGGAUAUUGGACAAUGGGCGGAAGCCUGAUCCAGCAAUGCCGCGUGAGUGAUGAAGUCCUUAAGGUUGUAAAGCUCUUUUACCCGGGAUGAUAAUGACAGUACCGGGAGAAUAAGCUCCGGCUAACCCCGUG